CUAGGUAGUUAUGGCGGGUGUGCCACACGCGAUCCCAUUCCGAACUCGACAGUGAAACCACCCAGCGCCGAUGGUACUUCUGCUUAAGCAGGAGGGAGAGUAGGUCGCUGCCUGGC
rnacentral:rRNA from 1 species